UUGUUUCUUACUCUUGUAGAAAAUAUACAAGACCCGAAACGCUUGCAAAGCCAACAAACUGAUACAGAACGGGGUUCUGUUGGGGUUCUUUUGGCUUUGCAAGCGUUUUUGCAGUCUUGUGUUCGGUUUGGUGCAAAGAGCGGACCGAGAAUCUGUGGCAUCUCCUCCAGCUACUGAUUAGAGCUGGAAAAACCUUGAUGUAACAUCGAUAAUAUAGAUGUUGCCAAAAAUGUUGCAACAUCGACAUUCGUCACUUGCAACCGGGUAAAAGAGGAAGCAUCAACGCGUGGUAAGAGUAAUUGGUGGUGUUGGCAGGCAUCGUGGGAGAAUUAUGGACACAUUUUUUGAAAGAACAUGGAAUGUGUUUCUAUUGUCACCAUCGGCGUUUUCGGAACCACUGGAGUACGAACAUAAAAAAUCAAGAAAGCUGCUACGUUUCAAAAAUUUCUGGAUAUGAUGUUCUUUCCACCCAAGUUGCAAGUUAUUUAUUGAUGGAAUAUUUAAAUUAGAAAUAAAUAAAUUAUUAAUGGAAUACACAACCUUAACCCUAAUUUUUAGACUUAGAAUUGU